CCUACGGGAGACAGCAGUGGGGAAUAUUGGGCAAUGGGCGCAAGCCUGACCCAGCAACGCCGCGUGAAGGAAGAAGGCUUUCGGGUUGUAAACUUCUUUUCUCAGGGACGAAGAAAGUGACGGUACCAGAGGAAUAAGCCAGGGCUAACUACGUGCCAGCAGCCGCGGUAAGACGUCGGGGGCAAGCUUUAUCAGGAUUUACUGGGUGUAAAGGGCGUGUAGGCGGGGAAGCAAGUCAGAUGUGAAAACCACGGGCUCAACCUGUGGCCUGCAUUUGAAACGGUUUUUCUUGAGUCCUGGGGAGGCAGCCGCACUUCCUCGUGUAGCGGUUAAAUGCGUAGAUAUUAGGAGGAACCCCAGUGGCGAAGGCGGUCUGCUGGACAGCACCUGACGCUGCGGCGC
rnacentral:rRNA from 1 species